UGAACGCUGGCGGCAUGCCUUACACAUGCAAGUCGAACGGCAGCACGGGGGCAACCCUGGUGGCGAGUGGCGAACGGGUGAGUAAUACAUCGGAACGUGUCCUGUAGUGGGGGAUAGCCCGGCGAAAGCCGGAUUAAUACCGCAUACGCUCUACGGAGGAAAGGGGGGGAUCUUAGGACCUCCCGCUACAGGGGCGGCCGAUGGCAGAUUAGCUAGUUGGUGGGGUAAAGGCCUACCAAGGCGACGAUCUGUAGCUGGUCUGAGAGGACGACCAGCCACACUGGGACUGAGACACGGCCCAGACUCCUACGGGAGGCAGCAGUGGGGAAUUUUGGACAAUGGGGGCAACCCUGAUCCAGCAAUGCCGCGUGUGUGAAGAAGGCCUUCGGGUUGUAAAGCACUUUUGUCCGGAAAGAAAACGCCGUGGUUAAUACCCGUGGCGGAUGACGGUACCGGAAGAAUAAGCACCGGCUAACUACGUGCCAGCAGCCGCGGUAAUACGUAGGGUGCAAGCGUUAAUCGGAAUUACUGGGCGUAAAGCGUGCGCAGGCGGUCCGCUAAGACAGAUGUGAAAUCCNNNGGCUUAACCUGGGAACUGC
rnacentral:rRNA from 1 species